rnacentral:tRNA from 1 species
CCGUCUGUGGCUCAGUGGUUAAUGUCACAGUCUAUGGAUCAGGAAGUCGCAGGUUCAAGCACUGCUGGAAGCA